GAUGAAGAACGUAGCGAAAUGCGAUACUUGGUGUGAAUUGCAGAAUCCCGUGAACCAUCGAGUCUUUGAACGCAAGUUGCGCCCGAAGCCAUUAGGCCGAGGGCACGCCUGCCUGGGCGUCACACGUCGUUGCCCCCCCCAUCUACUCCUUCGGGAUUGCGGGGGGCGGAUGAUGGCCUCCCGUGCGCCUCGCCGCGCGGUUGGCAUAAAUGCCAAGUCCUCGGCGACGCACGCCACGACAAUCGGUGGUUGCGAAACCUCGGUUGCCCGUCGUGUGCGGUCGUCGCGCAUCGAGGGCUCGAAAAAAUUGCCGAGUUCCGGCUCGGCUUUCAACGCGACCCCAGGUCAGGCGGGGUUACCCGCUGAAUUUAAGCAUAUCAAUAAGCGGAGG
rnacentral:misc_RNA from 1 species